GAUGAACGCUGGCGGCGUGCCUAAUACAUGCAAGUCGAGCGAACAGACGAGGAGCUUGCUCCUCUGACGUUAGCGGCGGACGGGUGAGUAACACGUGGAUAACCUACCUAUAAGACUGGGAUAACUUCGGGAAACCGGAGCUACUACCGGAUAAUAUAUUGAACCGCAUGGUUCAAUAGUGACAGACGGUUUUGCUGUCACUUAUAGAUGGAUCCGCGCCGCAUUAGCUAGUUGGUAAGGUAACGGCUUACCAAGGCGACGAUGCGUAGCCGACCUGAGAGGGUGAUCGGCCACACUGGAACUGAGACACGGUCCAGACUCCUACGGGAGGCAGCAGUAGGGAAUCUUCCGCAAUGGGCGAAAGCCUGACGGAGCAACGCCGCGUGAGUGAUGAAGGUCUUCGGAUCGUAAAACUCUGUUAUUAGGGAAGAACAAAUGUGUAAGUAACUAUGCACGUCUUGACGGUACCUAAUCAGAAAGCCACGGCUAACUACGUG
rnacentral:rRNA from 1 species